GUCCAAGCCGCAUCCUGGCCUCGUGAAAGUGAAAGAUGACCACGACAGUGACGACUUCGAUGAUAUCAAACACGCUGCAUCUUCAAUUGUCGACGGUGGUGUGGAACUGGAACCGAACGACAGGCCGAUACUGCUGGAUGUGCUUAGAAAGCGAACAUUUUCAGUCGAAGUACAUUCUCUUCAACGAACGCUACUAAGCUACAAAGAAACGAAAGACUGCUGCCAAAUUUACGCCAACGACGACUGCUACUCGUUAUUAAGUAGCAAUCGUGAUCUGAUCAAGGAUGCCGUUUCGCUUGGCCAUUGCCUCUGGAUAAAAUGAUUGAGCAUAUUUACUUAGCAUCGACAACAUUGGGAAGGUUCUUAUUACAUUUUAAUAUUAUGUACCGUGCAAGCACCAUAUUCAAAACAGUGCCUAAUUCUGAACAGUUUCAUUAUUCAUAAAUAUUAACAAAAUUCUAGUUAUUUAAACAAAUUAAUCACUACAUCUGAUGAUUUCAUAUUACUAAAAUGGUUUAAAUAGCUAGAGUUUUGUCAAUA